rnacentral:rRNA from 1 species
UACGGGGGGGGUAAGCGUUGUUCGGAAUUACUGGGCGUAAAGGGCUCGUAGGCGGCCAACUAAGUCAGACGUGGAAUCCCUCAGCUUAACUGGGGAACUGCGUCUGAUACUGGAUGGCUUGGAUCCGGAAGAGGGAUGCGGAAUUCCAGGUGUAGCGGUGAAAUGCGUAGAUAUCUGGAGGAACACCGGUGGCGAAGGCGGCAUCCUGGGCCGGUAUUGACGCUGAGGAGCGAAAGCCAGGGGAGCAAACGGG